GAUAAUCAAUGAGAGAAAAUAAUUUCUGAUAUUUAAUUAUAUGGAAUACUUUUCUGCAGGCAAGUAGUUGUAAUCUUCCAUUCACAAAUUUCAGAAUCAUUUUUGCGCUUAGAGAUCAACACUCCACAAGCAAAGGGAAGGCUGCAUCGCGAUAUCAAACAUAUUCUAGGAUGCAUUCGAUCAUUGCCUUCUGAUAUUUCAAGUGAUUCUGGUGUCCCUAAUUGGGGACAACUUGAUGAAUUCUUGGCGCAAAGAUUUGGAGCUGAAGCUAGCUGACAAAUUUUGUUGUAGAGUAGAAAAUUGAUUGCUUCUUUGAUGAAGGCUAACCAGAUUUUGGAGGGAACAAAAGGGGAUGUCAGAACCAAUUCUCUGCCUAUGCACUUUCCAUGUAGAGUUAAUUUGAGGUGUUCUGAUUACCCCCAGGCUGAAGGGUAUAUCACAUUCAUAUGUUUCGCAAAAGAAUUGUAUUUAACCACAAGUUUUGUAGAGGCACACUAUAUAUACAAAGUGUGUGACAAAUAGAACCAUUUCUGUUUUGUUCCCUUAUUUGUGUAGUUCUUUUUUGGGUUGAAGAUGGAACCAUUUUAUUUUCCCCGAUCAAAAGAACAAAAACAAAGGCAUAGUUUGAUGGUUAAAUUUGAUCAUUUUGGGGGGAAUUGUUAAUUGUUAAUUGUAUCACUAUUUGUUAUUACUAUUACAUCAGCCAAGGUUACUCAAAUUACAGAGCUAGUAAUUUUCC